CUUCCUCCCUCUCCGGCCAUGUGAAGUGCAGGCUUCCCCUUCACCUUCCACCAUGAUUGAAGCUGAGAACAUGCCGCCAUGCUUCCUGUGCAGCCUGCAGAACCCUGAGCCAAUUAAACCUCUUUCCUUAUAAAUUACCCAGUCUCAAGUAUUCCUUAAUAGCAGUGGGAGAAUGGACUAAUACAGGAGCAGUACCCAGCUUCUCCUAGGGAAUGGCCACUACCCUAUCUGCUGGACGUGGCUCUGGAUGAAUCAAAGAAGUUCCUUUGACCUUGCCACAUUUACCCGGAGGUGUUUUGACUCCAUGGCAGAUACUUUGCCCAUUUGCCACAGAGCAGAUGGUUACUGAGAGUUCGUAGAGCUGUUAGAAACUUAUGAAAGAGCCUGAUGAGCCAUAAAGUGGACCAGCUGUGGACAAGAGCAAUUAUCAAGAGUAAUGGCUCAGGAUUACCUAAGAAAUACAAACACAUUUUUUUCAAUUCAAAAUUAAUAUUACAGCAGACAUAACACAAAAUAAAGCCAACAAUAACUGAAGCAAAAGUUAUUAUAGAUUUAAAAAGCUAUAAAACUGAAGCAUACAGCAAAAGUUGUUUUAGAUUAAAAAUUGAACAAUCAGUCAUUGUUAACAUUGAAAACUAUAAAAAUUGAACUGGGGAAAUUAGAAAUUAUCAGUGGAAAAUGCAACUGACAGUAUGUAAAAAUACAGAUGUUAAAUUUAAAAUUUGUAUUGACAGAAGAAGAAGAAUUUUUUUUAAAUUUAGAGCUGUGCAAAUUAUUCGAGAAAUUUGGCUUUGUAGAAGUAAUGGCCACAAAAAGAAGACUCAUUAGAGCAGAAGAUUCACUUUUUGAAAUUAGACUCGAGUAAGGAAAAAAAAACAAAAAGCCCACAAAAAGAAAGGAUGAGUCAAGUUAUCACCGAAAAAUAAAAAUGGAAACAAUUUGGUUAACUGCUGUUAGAAAAUUGACCCAAAAACUAAACUGGGUUCAUGGAAUUUGCUUCAGAAAACGCUUCCUUGACAAAUGUCAACAGUUGUUUUAAUUCUGAUUAACGUGAUGGGUCAUGAACUUGGAGUCAAGAGCUCUCAGGGUGAAAAUGCCCACUGAGUCAAAAUGGCAGAGUCCGAACAGCCUCACUGCGGAGGGCCCUGCAGUCGUGGGGUUCAGCCCCCCGCCGGCUCAGGUGGGCUGCUCAUGCCACACCAUCCCCUAUGGGGAAUCCAAUGUGUGUCUGUCGAGCACAGCCCACCACAGUCCUUCAACAAGAUUUAAUAUUUGGACUCUGCAAGGAGGACUUUCUUCCUUCUAGACCACAAGCCACAAGAAUCUGGACAUGAAACAGUCCAGUACUCACCAUGACAGCCAGGUGGAGACACCUGUUUAAGAACAAAGCUGAUGUGGUUUGGAUGUUUUUUCUCUGCAAAUCUCACAUUGAAAUGUGAUCCCCAGUGUGGGAGGUGGAGCCUGGAGGGAGGUGACUGGAUCAUGGGCGUGGAUCUCUCAUGAAUGGUUUAGCGCCGUCCUCUUGGUGAUGAGUGAGCUCUCCCUCAGUUUUUUCCUGCAAGAUCUGGUUGUUUAAGAGUGUGGUGCCUCCCCCUUCCUUCUGGCUCUGGCUCUUGCCACAUGAUGUACCUGCUCCCUUCCACCUUCUGCCAUGAUUGGAAGCUUCCUGGGCCCUCACCAGAGGCAGAUACCCAUACCAUGCUUCCUGUACAGUCUGCAGAAUUGUGAGCCAAUUAAACCUCUUUUC
rnacentral:lncRNA from 1 species